UACGUAGGGGGCAAGCGUUGUCCGGAUUUAUUGGGCGUAAAGAGCGUGUAGGCGGCCAGGGAGGUCCGUUGUGAAAUCUCGAGGCUCAACUUCGAGCUGUCGGUGGAAACUGUCUGGCUAGAGUCCGGAAGAGGAGAAUGGAAUUCCUGGUGUAGCGGUGAAAUGCGCAGAUAUCAGGAAGAACACCCGUGGCGAAGGCGGUUCUCUGGGACGGUACUGACGCUGAGACGCGAAAGCGUGGGGAGCAAACAGG
rnacentral:rRNA from 1 species